UAUGCUGGAGUUUAAUCUUAGAAGUUUCGAACUUCAAUAUACAAUGCUGAAGUUUUCGCCUUACGGGAAAUUUUGAACUUCAUGAAUAAUUUAUGGAGUUUGAACUGCUAAAAUUUUUAACUUCAGUAAUUGCUCCUAGAGUAUUCAGUGAUUUAGUUGAGAGAUUCUUGUUCAAAACCUCUCUGUGUAAAAAAAAGUAGCUAAAGUUAUAACCACAUUGUUUAAAUAUAUAUUUUUUUACAUUUUCAAUGCACAAAAUUUUAAAACUAAGAAAUCGGGAGUUUUCACUUUUUUCCGGAACAUUAGUCCAAAAACUGUUUGGACAUAAGAUUGUUAUAAUUUUUUGGAAUAAAACUGUUUGGAAUUCAAAAAUGUUGUUUUCACAAUUUUCACUUCAAAUCACUCACAAAAAUCCAAAAAUAACCCCAAUUAUCUGCAUGUCCAAAACAACUUCAAUUUUCGAAUACCAUUUUCAACUUAAAAACAAAUACAAUACUACUUUUUUUUUUUUUUCAAUUUUACAAUUCUUAUGUUCAAUCACCCACUUAAAUUACUGGUCGGAGCUGGUACAUGACUGUACGUUGCACUGAAAUGUUACAUUACACGUAAAUGGAAAUACUGAAAAGGAAGCAGCGUAAAGCAGAGAAGAAAAGUGGGAGAAGAUAGGAGGCAGACUGAGCUUUCAUUCAUAAUAAAGGAAACAACCCUAUUACUACAUGAUAUAUAUAAGAUGCUAAAAUGGGAAAUGCUAAACACUGGCUGAUGACAGAAAUAAAAAGAGUACUCUCUCCAUAAAGCUAAUAAAUUACCCUGGGAUUCCUCUUAACUUUAGGUUAACUCAUUACCCCAUUUUAAUACGUAUCCUACAUUUGGGGUUUGUUUCUUUUUUCUUUUUCUUUUGUAUAAAUUUGGGGCUUGCAACUGCUACACUUGCUUUAGUUUUGGAUUUUGCCAUGUAUGCAGAGAAAAUAUUUGCUUGCUCCAGUUGUGCUUAGGUUCAAUAUGAUGAAGGGUUAAUAUGAAUGCUAUUUCUUGAUUCUAGCUAGCAGUUCCUCCUUGGAGUUCAUUGGUCUCUUCAGUGUUUGCUUAAAAUUGCAUGCGAAGCAUUUUUGCCACUAAAGUAAGCAUAUAACUAUAUGUUUUUGUUGAAUGCAUAUCUAAAUGUAACAGAAGAUAAGAAAAACAAUCAUGGCACGCAUUUGAAGCAUCAACGAGCAAAAGAAAUCUUAAAUCAUAUAGCUGAAGAGCCCGACUAUUAUAAGUUAAAUCCCCUGUUGGAAUUUUUUCCUCUGUGUCGAGAUAUUUUUGAACUGUGAAACACAUUUAAGUUGUUAGUAAUAUUCUAUUUUACCAGUCUCUGACUAUUUGUGUUAGAGAAAACUACUGGUUAAUUAAGAAAACUGAUCAGGAAGGAUUUCUUUGUAAUGAAACUUUCUAUUUUAGAAUUGGAAGACAGACAAUGGGGAUCUCUCUCUUGUAACAUCUUUCUAGUAGCUUAGGGGGAAAAAGCAGAAGCUAAACCGAAAAAAAAGGUUGGGGAAAGCGAUGGAUUGUAAAGCAAUAAUCAGAAUACACCAAGACAAGAAUGUUAUUCACCAUUAUCCAACACUAACAGGACAGUAGUGUUCAUUUACAGUAGGGUGGAUUAUUUUCACUAUUAUAAAUUGUAAAGCUUUCAUCGAGUAAGAGCUGGUAUAUAAAGUUGGAUCACUUGCUUAAAAAACAUGUACCUGUUAUUUAUUCCUUGUGAGCAGAGAGCUACACAAGGCUGGUCGAGUCAAACCAUUGCUGUAGGAUGUACUAAUCUACUUAAUUAACCCAAAUCUUUUACUUCUAUUUGUUCUAUAUCUAUGUCCUAGUCUUAUAAUUUUUUUCUAUCUGGCCUUGUCAUUGUUUGCCUUACUCGAGCCGAGGGUCUAUCGGAAACAGCCUCUCUACCUACCAAGGUAGAGGUAAGGUCUGCGUACACUCUACCCUCCCCCUUCCCCAGACCCCACUUUCGGGAUUACAUAAGUUACCUUGUUGUUGUUGUCGUUGGCCUUGUCAUUGUUUGUGGGUUGCUGGUUGGGCUUGGGAUGUUGAUUCCAGUGUUUCAGUAUGUAGGUUGAUCAAAUUGCAGAUUUUCAUUGCUGGAAUAGGAGAUACAGAAAUUGACGAUAUUGGAAGUCUUCAAGGUAUUGGUUUCCUUAAGACUGGAAUAGCAUAUAUAACUAGUGAUGAUGAUACUGAAGUUCCUCUGUGCGCAUUGCGCGCAACUGCUGUGAAGCUGUUGGAGGUCGAACAGAGGAACAAUGAAAUACACUCGGAGAAAAUUGAGUUAGAAAGACAAGCUAACGCGAUCAUAUUGAUCUGUACAAGGGCAUCUUCACUCUUUUGGUAUUCUCAGUAGGAAUUAAUAUCAACCAAACUACCAAAGUACCAUCUUGUCCUGACUUUGCCAUAAUAUCUAUUCUAUCCGCGUGUAUGUUUUGGUCUGGAAUGUUCAUUUUCAUGGUCUCUUUAAGAUGAGGAUUACAAUCACGAACAGUUCGAUCAGGCUUUUGACCGCAAGGCAUAUAAGAGUGAGAGUAGAAGCAAGAAUUCUGAUGGAAUUGGAAAAUAAGAGGAAAAGAAGGCUAGCAGCAAAUGUUCUGAAUAACAGUGAAGGUCCAGUCAUAAACAUGGAUUUUUUUAUCACCACAACUAAGACCAUAUAUGAUGCUCCCGAAUUUUCUGAUUUUGAGAAGGUUUAUCAUAAGAAGAUCAAUCUGUCUUGUGUGGUCAGAAGUGUUGCUAUCUUCCUGCUAUGGUGGUCCAUACAUACUUCUAUAUAUAUAUAUAUAUGUGGUGAGUAUUCUCCUUUUCUAUGUAAAUGAAUUUGAAGUCUAUUUUCGAGCAUGCUAAAGAGUGAUAUCGUGAAAUGUAGCCCUUUUUAUACAAAAGUGCAAUUCAUUAACAAGACUAACCAUCUUUUGGUUUUUCAUUUACAGAGCUGAAUCAAGGACAUGAUUCUUCAUCACCUGACAAGCUUAGCAUGCCAUAUAAGGCUACAUGAAAAUUUAUAGUCGAAUACAAAACUAUGUUUUGGUGUUUUGGUAUUUGCCAACUUUGAACUUUCUCGAUUUGUAGCGUUUAAUUUGCAAAUGUUUGCUAGGAACUGGCCAAGUUAAUUUUGGGAGCUUCCUUUCAAUUGCCUAUUUUGAUUAUGAAACUUAUAGUAGUUCGAACA